CAAAGGGCAAAAUGAGGUGGGGAGAACUAGACGAUCCCCGUGGGAUCUUCUUGCACAUAGAGACCAGAAGAGCAGCCCAGGGUAGGGGGAACUGGGCUACAUUUGGAGUCUGAAGUUUUGUUCUUCUUCGGUCCUCUCCAUUUGGGGUUCUCUUGGCAGAGAUACUGGGGUGGCUUGCCAUUUCCUUCUCCAGCCCAUUUUACAGAUGAGGAAACUGAGGAAAAUGGGGCUAAGCAACUUGCCCAGGGUCACACGACUAGGAAGUGUCCGACAUCAUAUUUGAACUCAGUUCUUGCUGACUCCAGGUCCAGCAUUUUGCCAUUUCUCCACCUGUCUGCCCCAGGAGAUGCUUCAGAAAUGUGUACUGACAAAACAAUGGAACUGAGAGGGAUCCGAAUACUGCCCUCCAUCCUUACUGCAUGACCUGGGACCAGUCACUUAAGGCUCAAAGCCUUGGGACGCUCAUCUCCACCCCCCAAUGUAGGAGAGUUGGGGCGUCAGAAAUCAUCUUGGAGCAAAAAAGCCAACAGCAUCCAACUGGGCACCCGCGGGCUGAACCAGCCAGCCAAUGGCAGAUCUAUGCCUGGCAGGAUCUUUGGGACAAUCCGAGCCUCUGAACCCUCAUUUGAACAGAUGGGGACACUGAGGCUUAAGCUCAGAGAGAUGUAAGAGGUAAGAGAUGGAAAUUGAACCCAGGUCUUCUUGACUCCAGGAACUGAAAGGGAUUUUGGGGGGCGCCCCAAGUCCUCCUUCAUUUUACAGAUGAGGAAACUGAGGCUGAGAGACGUUUCUUACUGACCAGAAUUUAUCAUAUUUAUUUAUCAUCUGAAGCAGGACCUGAACUCAAGUCUACUAAGUUAUUUCCCCUCUCCAGGCUUCGGUUAUCUUUCGGUCUCAAAUGAAACGGCUGGACUAAAUGAUUGCCGGGUCAGUGAGUGGGGAUCAGGAAUCGGAUGACCUGCCUUCAAAUCUCUUUAUGAACUCGGACCCUGCCUUGCUAAGUGCCCUUGAGCCGCUCCAUCUCCACGAGCCUUCGCUUCGGGAAGGGGCUUCAAGGAGACGGCCCCGAAGGUCCCUUCCAGCCCCAACUCCAUGACGGUGUCUGGGAUCCCUUCUGGGAUAAAUCAAAAUCACAAAUCCACUGCUUCUCGGGGCACGUGGGGCUCGUGAUCAUCGGCUUCCCCCCUGCUCUCAGACCGCCAUUUUCAGACCAUUUCAUCUGCUCUCUUAAUCUCUAUUAAAUUUCCACUUCUCAGGAGGGGUCGGAAAAUGUCACUUUUGUAAGAAGAAACUGAUGUCCGAGACUCCCUCCCGAUCGCGGCAUUCUUCUAAUUCCUGCUCCCCCCCUUAGAUUAUGGCCCCCGGUAUCAUCGAGCCCAGCCUGACGGCAGGAGGGUAACUGGGACAUCACAAGAAGUGUGAAAAUGUCAGCCAGACAGACACAGGAGUGGCCGGGCAGGCCGGCUCAGGGCUCAGCUACUUAGGAUUCGUGGCACACUUGCCACUCAAAAUUCCGCCCCUUUGAGAAAUCCGACUUUAGUGGCAAGAAUAAAAGGGCGUUUACCUCCUU